GGACUACCGGGGUUUCUAAUCCUGUUCGCUCCCCACGCUUUCGCGCCUCAGCGUCAGUAUUUGGCCAGGUGGCUGCCUUCGCCAUCGACGUUCCUUCCGAUCUCUACGCAUUUCACCGCUACACCGGAAAUUCCGCCACCCUCUCCUAUACUCCAGUCAACCAGUCUGCGAUGCACUUCCCAGGUUAAGCCCGGGGCUUUCACAUCACACUUAGUCCACCGCCUACGCGCCCUUUACGCCCAGUAAUUCCGAUUAACGCUCGCACCCUCUGUAUUACCGCGGCUGCUGGCAC
rnacentral:rRNA from 2 species